rnacentral:tRNA from 1 species
GUUAUCGUAGCUUAUAUUACAAAGCAUGGCAUUGAAGCCGCCAAAAAGGGCGCUAUCAAACCCCGAAAACA